CCGAUAUCCAAUCCAAUCAAGAUAAGAUUAAUACCAAAAAUUGACGAACCAUAUCUCGCGCGUGAGAUCGGGUUGGUCAAUUUUAAAUUAAAUCGCGAAUCAAAUCUCGAGCAUGAGAUUGGAUUGUCAAUUUUUGUAAGAGAUCGUGAGUCGGAUUUCGGGCAUGAAAAUCGAACUCCUAAUCCCUAAUUUGAGGGGUUAUUCAAUCAUGCAUUAAUGAAUAAUCGCGCUAAAAAAAACUAUAUAAAAACAAACUAUAAACUAUAUAAAAUAAAAAGAAAAACUACCUAAUGUUCCCCUUUCUUUGUUUUCUUGCUUUGGGCUUUCCACGGUGUUCGGCAGCUGUGGUGAGUCUUCGGAGGGGCAGCUAGUCACCGGCGUUCGGAGCUCCGGCGAGGACCGGCGGCAGGUGGACCGGCGGCGGGCGGACCGGCGGCAGCAGCAGUAGGUCGCGGGUGGUGCGCUGCAGGCGUCGGGUUGCUGGUCGGAGCGGCACGGGCGGAGCAGCAGGCAACUUCGCUCUGGGGAGGCUCGGAGCGGAUUUGCUGGGCGUCGGAUGAGCGAGCAGGAACGAACGGCAGGCGAAACUCGGCUGCUGAGGGGCGUCCCUGGCGGAGCUUGGGCGCUGGGUCGGCUGAAGCGGAUCACCGGCAAAUGUGGGGCAUCGGACGUGCGUACGGUGGCUGGAUCUGGAGCAGUGGAAGUGGCUCGGGUGGUUGUUCGGGUGAGGAGGUGCAGCGACCGUCUUCGAGCUAGAGCAGAAGCGCGGAACAAGGCUGGGCGGAGCAGAUCACGGACUGAGUGGGGGCAGCAGCAGCUUUGCUGGGACGUUGCGGGUCAGCGCUCGGAGCAACGUUAGGGAGGCUCGGAGAGAUCGUCGGCGUCGUGGACCGGCGCUGGGUCGCGGCUUCACGGGGGGGCAAGGGACUCAGCAACGUUCUCGAGCUUAGGAGGGUGGAGCGACGGAGUCGGGCUGUUGCGGCGCGGGCUGCAGCAGCGGGCAGGAACGGAGCGGCUUGGGUUGCAGCGUCGGGUUGCUGGUCUAGGCGUCGGGGACGGUGACGUGCAAGGCAGAGAGGCGGCGACGGGCUCGGAACUGGCGCGGUGGUGCGGGCUGCAGUGGACACCGGAGAAGAAGCUCGGGCAGCAGGGGUCAACAGCAGAAGAAGAACUCGUAAAGAAGAAGAUGAACAGUGUUUUCUUUCUUCUCUUUUCUGUUCUGCCGCACGCCCCCUUUUCUGAC
rnacentral:lncRNA from 1 species